ACUAUCGUUAACUGAAUACAUAGGUUAACGAGGCGAACCGGGGGAACUGAAACAUCUAAGUACCCCGAGGAAAAGAAAUCAACCGAGAUUCCCCCAGUAGCGGCGAGCGAACGGGGAGCAGCCCAGAGUCUGAAUCAGCUUGUGUGUUAGUGGAACGGUCUGGAAAGUCCGACGGUACAGGGUGAUAGUCCCGUACACCAAAAUGCACAGGUUGUGAACUCGAAGAGUAGGGCGGGACACGUGGUAUCCUGUCUGAAUAUGGGGGGACCAUCCUCCAAGGCUAAAUACUCCUGACUGACCGAUAGUGAACCAGUACCGUGAGGGAAAGGCGAAAAGAACCCCGGCGAGGGGAGUGAAAAAGAACCUGAAACCGUGUACGUACAAGCAGUGGGAGCACCUUCGGGUGUGACUGCGUACCUUUUGUAUAAUGGGUCAGCGACUUAUAUUCUGUAGCAAGGUUAACCGUAUAGGGGAGCCGCAGGGAAACCGAGUCUUAACUGGGCGUUAAGUUGCAGGGUAUAGACCCGAAACCCGGUGAUCUAGCCAUGGGCAGGUUGAAGGUUGGGUAACACUAACUGGAGGACCGAACCGACUAAUGUUGAAAAAUUAGCGGAUGACUUGUGGCUGGGGGUGAAAGGCCAAUCAAACCGGGAGAUAGCUGGUUCUCCCCGAAAGCUAUUUAGGUAGCGCCUCGUGAAUUCAUCUUCGGGGGUAGAGCACUGUUUCGGCUAGGGGGUCAUCCCGACUUACCAACCCGAUGCAAACUACGAAUACCGAAGAAUGUUAUCACGGGAGACACACGGCGGGUGCUAACGUCCGUCGUGAAGAGGGAAACAACCCAGACCGCCAGCUAAGGUCCCAAAGUCAUGGUUAAGUGGGAAACGAUGUGGGAAGGCACAGACAGCCAGGAUGUUGGCUUAGAAGCAGCCAUCAUUUAAAGAAAGCGUAAUAGCUCACUGGUCGAGUCGGCCUGCGCGGAAGAUGUAACGGGGCUAAACCAUGCACCGAAGCUGCGGCAGCGACACUAUGUGUUGUUGGGUAGGGGAGCGUUCUGUAAGCCUGCGAAGGUGACCUGUGAGGGUUGCUGGAGGUAUCAGAAGUGCGAAUGCUGACAUAAGUAACGAUAAAGCGGGUGAAAAGCCCGCUCGCCGGAAGACCAAGGGUUCCUGUCCAACGUUAAUCGGGGCAGGGUGAGUCGACCCCUAAGGCGAGGCCGAAAGGCGUAGUCGAUGGGAAACAGGUUAAUAUUCCUGUACUUGGUGUUACUGCGAAGGGGGGACGGAGAAGGCUAUGUUAGCCGGGCGACGGUUGUCCCGGUUUAAGCAUGUAGGCUGGUUAUCCAGGCAAAUCCGGAUAAUCAAGGCUGAGGUGUGAUGACGAGGCACUACGGUGCUGAAGUAACAAAUGCCCUGCUUCCAGGAAAAGCCUCUAAGCAUCAGGUAACAUCAAAUCGUACCCCAAACCGACACAGGUGGUCAGGUAGAGAAUACCAAGGCGCUUGAGAGAACUCGGGUGAAGGAACUAGGCAAAAUGGUGCCGUAACUUCGGGAGAAGGCACGCUGGUGUGUAGGUGAAGCCCCUGCGGGUGGAGCUGAGACCAGUCGAAGAUACCAGCUGGCUGCAACUGUUUAUUAAAAACACAGCACUGUGCAAACACGAAAGUGGACGUAUACGGUGUGACGCCUGCCCGGUGCCGGAAGGUUAAUUGAUGGGGUUAUCCGUAAGGAGAAGCUCUUGAUCGAAGCCCCGGUAAACGGCGGCCGUAACUAUAACGGUCCUAAGGUAGCGAAAUUCCUUGUCGGGUAAGUUCCGACCUGCACGAAUGGCGUAAUGAUGGCCAGGCUGUCUCCACCCGAGACUCAGUGAAAUUGAACUCGCUGUGAAGAUGCAGUGUACCCGCGGCAAGACGGAAAGACCCCGUGAACCUUUACUAUAGCUUGACACUGAACAUUGAGCCUUGAUGUGUAGGAUAGGUGGGAGGCUUUGAAGCGUGGACGCCAGUCUGCGUGGAGCCAACCUUGAAAUACCACCCUUUAAUGUUUGAUGUUCUAACGUUGGCCCCUGACCGGGGUUGCGGACAGUGUCUGGUGGGUAGUUUGACUGGGGCGGUCUCCUCCCAAAGCGUAACGGAGGAGCACGAAGGUUAGCUAAUCCUGGUCGGACAUCAGGAGGUUAGUGCAAUGGCAUAAGCUAGCUUGACUGCGAGCGUGACGGCGCGAGCAGGUGCGAAAGCAGGUCAUAGUGAUCCGGUGGUUCUGAAUGGAAGGGCCAUCGCUCAACGGAUAAAAGGUACUCCGGGGAUAACAGGCUGAUACCGCCCAAGAGUUCAUAUCGACGGCGGUGUUUGGCACCUCGAUGUCGGCUCAUCACAUCCUGGGGCUGAAGUAGGUCCCAAGGGUAUGGCUGUUCGCCAUUUAAAGUGGUACGCGAGCUGGGUUUAGAACGUCGUGAGACAGUUCGGUCCCUAUCUGCCGUGGGCGCUGGAGAAUUGAGGGGGGCUGCUCCUAGUACGAGAGGACCGGAGUGGACGCAUCACUGGUGUUCGGGUUGUCAUGCCAAUGGCACUGCCCGGUAGCUAAAUGCGGAAGAGAUAAGUGCUGAAAGCAUCUAAGCACGAAACUUGCCCCGAGAUGAGUUCUCCCUGAGACUUUAAGUCUCCUGAAGGAACGUUGAAGACGACGACGUUGAUAGGCCGGGUGUGUAAGCGCAGCGAUGCGUUGAGCUAACCGGUACUAAUGAACCGUGAGGCUUAACC
rnacentral:rRNA from 1 species